rnacentral:sRNA from 1 species
GAAACAAUCUAUUGAAUGGAAUUUUCAGUCAUGCAUAUACAAUGAAGCAAUGAUCUCUGAUGUUAUUGCUCCAUCACCAUGGAAGAUUUAUAGUUGCCACAAUGGACUAAGGAUCUUCACAGAAGCACCAGAUUGGGGUUUCCAUGGAAGAAAUUCGGGAUAUCACCCAGUAAUGAUGGCAGUGAGUGUGAUUGAGGGAACUUCAGAAGACAUUUUCCAAACUCUUAUGUCUCUACGGCCCUCAAGAUCAGAAUGGGACUUCUGUACACACCAAGGUAGUGUGAUAGAUCACAUUGAUGAUCAUACUGAUAUAAUUCAUGUGAAGUUGUACAAUGAUCGGUUACCUAGGGGAAUGAAACCACGAGAUUUUGUGUUGCAAAG